rnacentral:rRNA from 1 species
CCCGCACAAGCGGCGGAGCAUGCGGAUUAAUUCGAUGCAACGCGAAGAACCUUUACCAGGUCUUGACAUCCCGAUGCUAUUUCUAGAGAUAGAAAGUUACUUCGGUACAUCGGUGACAGGUGGUGCAUGGUUGUCGUCAGCUCGUGUCGUGAGAUGUUGGGUUAAGUCCCGCAACGAGCGCAACCCCUAUUGUUAGUUGCCAUCAUUCAGUUGGGCACUCUAGCGAGACUGCCGGUAAUAAACCGGAGGAAGUGGGAUGACGUCAAAUCAUCAUGCCCCUUAUGACCUGGGCUACACACGUGCUACAAUGGUUGGUACAACGAGUUGCGAGUCGGUGACGGCGAGCUAAUCUCUUAAAGCCAAUCUCAGUUCGGAUUGUAGGCUGCAACUCGCCUACAUGAAGUCGGAAUCGCUAGUAAUCGCGGAUCAGCACGCCGCGGUGAAUACGUUCCCGGGCCUU